CCUACGUGCUGCAGCAGUGGGGAAUAUUGGACAAUGGGCGAAAGCCUGAUCCAGCCAUGCCGCGUGUGUGAAGAAGGCCUUCGGGUUGUAAAGCACUUUCAGUGGGGAAGAAAGCCUUGGGGCUAAUACCCUCGAGGAAGGACAUCACCCACAGAAGAAGCACCGGCUAACUCCGUGCCAGCAGCCGCGGUAAUACGGAGGGUGCGAGCGUUAAUCGGAAUUACUGGGCGUAAAGCGCGCGUAGGCGGUCUGAUAAGCCGGUUGUGAAAGCCCCGGGCUCAACCUGGGAACGGCAUCCGGAACUGUCAGGCUAGAGUGCAGGAGAGGAAGGUAGAAUUCCCGGUGUAGCGGUGAAAUGCGUAGAGAUCGGGAGGAAUACCAGUGGCGAAGGCGGCCUUCUGGACUGACACUGACGCUGAGGUGCGAAAGCGUGGGUAGCAAACAGGAUUAGAUACCCCAGUAGUC
rnacentral:rRNA from 1 species